UUUUUUUCUUUCUAUCCUUUAACCUAACAUGCUCUACUCGUCUAACUAGAGAAGUUAUACUCGAUUUUAUUUUGUCAAAAAUUAUAGAUAUGUGGCAGUCAUAACAUUUUAUGCGGCUGUUUAUUCUGCAUCUCCUUACCUUUGUCUUGUUCAUGCUGUAUAGGUAAUGCGCUAUUUUAAUUCAUAGUUUUACCUCUAUAUACUGAUAAUUAUCAGCCAUAGCAGUGGUCUUUGUCUUCCAUCCUUUCAUGCAUCCAUCCCUUCAUUUUUGUUGUUGUGAUACUUGCAACAAAGGGAUUGGGGAAACACAAGAUUAAAGACAGCACGUUGAGAAUAAUUGCCCUGAUUUAAUAUGGGGUUUACUUGAUCUAGAUUUACAUAUCUGACUUUAGUUUCAGCUUUGCUGGAAAAUUUAUCUUGAUGUCUUUAGCCUUUAGGGGUCUUAAUUUUUGUUCGAGUUUUAAUUUUAGUCCUUG
rnacentral:misc_RNA from 1 species